rnacentral:rRNA from 1 species
UCGGGAAUCUUCGGCAAUGGACGAAAGUCUGACCGAGCAACGCCGCGCGAGUGAAGAAGGUUUUCGGAUCGUAAAACUCUGUUGUUAGAGAAGAACAAGGACGUUAGUAACUGAACGUCCCCUGACGGUAUCUAACCAGAAAGCCACGGCUAACUACGUGCCAGCAGCCGCCGUAAUACGUAGGUGGCAAGCGUUGUCCGGAUUUAUUGGGCGUAAAGCGAGCGCAGGCGGUUUCUUAAGUCUGAUGUGAAAGCCCCCGGCUCAACCGGGGAGGGUCAUUGGAAACUGGGAGGCGUGAGUGCAGAAGAGGAGAGUGGAAUUCCAUGUGUAGCGGUGAAGUGCGGAGAUAUAUGGAGGAACACGAGUGGCGAAGGCGGCUCUCUGGUCUGUAACUGACGCUGAGGCUCGAAAGCGUGGGGAGCAAACAGG